GGCUCGGUAGCUCAGUCGGUAGAGCAUAGGACUGAAAAUCCUAGUGUCGGCGGUUCGACCCCGUUCCGAGCCA
rnacentral:tRNA from 1 species